GGAGCAGAGGAGGAGGAGAAUGCGAGGAGGAGGGAGGAGAACCAGCAGCGGGGACCCAAGGCCAGCGGCCGCCGGAGGCGGUGGACAGCGGUGGCCCCCGCGGGACCUAGUCUCCGGCGGGAGUGGGGCGGCGCAUGGGAGGGGAGCGGGUGCCCUGAGGAGUUAAUUUCCGAGAGGGGCGUUCCCAGCACUGCCCCUCUGGACCCGGUCCCCGCGGACUUGCAGGCCCAGCCUAUGUCCAGGUCGAGCCAAAUCUGUGCCAGGGUCCCCUUCCCCCUUUCCCUUCUUUUGUUUUACAAAGCAAACUUGUACCAGCUUUAGACAGACUGGCCGAGCCUUAGAGCCAGCGUCGGAUAAUGGCACCGACGGGGAAACUGCUCCUUUAUUCGGGUCCCCACCUCCCCUGCAGCACUACGGGACCCUCUCGGGGAUCAGAGGCUGGCCUGGCAGCUGAGGAGGUCGCCGUGCCCGCGCGGCAGGGGUGCCAGGCGUCCGAGGUGGUGCUCUAAAGUCCGAGGGUCCUUCAGAUCUUGUCAAGCACCCUCGAAAUCAUCUGAAAUGAGGGCACCCAACUCCGGGUGCAGAGACAGGCCUCCUUAAUGUUUAUUGCAACCAGCCAUGGGUACUUUGAAGCCAAUGUGUGAAGCACAUUACUUCGCAAAAGUGAAGCUCUUGGAAUAAAGGCUUGACACAAACAGCCGUGGAGGUGCUUUUAGAGAGGCUAAGUGUCCCACUGCCCCUGUAGCUCCCGCAGGAGAAAUGCCAGGGAAACUCGCGGAAGCUUUGGCCAAAAGAAACUGAGCUUUUUUGGGCUGCAGGAACUUGAGCUAUAUUCCUUUGGCAAGUCCACCCCAUCCCCACUGUUCCUUCUCCUGCAGUAAAAAUGUCCUCUAGGUCCAUGUUACAGCCAGACCCCUCCUCUCUUCACGAGAUUCACUAGGACCUUCAGGCCUGGUUCAACAACCCUGAUCUCUCGGCUCUGUCAAAAAUCACAAUCCUGAAGUAAGUGAAGCUACAGACCUGCCCUUUGCUGUCUCUGAAGGGGAGCAACCUUACAUCUUUCCUCCUCAUCCAGCAAAAUGUUUGUGCCUGGGUCUCGCACCCUGCAGCCUGAACGGUGGGGUUUUUCACCAGGGCAAGCGCAGACAGACACAGGUCUGCUCACUGCCCGCACAACCUGGAACUUCCCUGUGAAUUAGGAGAAGUAAUCUGUUCCUUUGUUUUAACAAAUCAGUACAGCCACUGUGCGUUGAAGUCAUGCCCUGAAUGCAGAGGCCAUGAAGGCUCUGCAGGCAUGUGUGUGCUUCCUGCACACCUGGGCUGAGAGCAGUCCGUAGAAACACAGAAAACAAAACUAGAGAAAGGCAAAUGGGAAGCACAACAGUGGAACAUAAAAUGAAGACAGGAGUGAGUCUUACAAUAAAAGACCUGAAUACAAUAAAGUCCUGUGCAUUCACUUAACAAGGGCUGCAAAUUUGGUUUUAAACUAUAUUUUCUGUCAAGGGAAUGUGACCUGUGUGUACAAGUCACAACACAAAUCAAUUUAAGCUACAACUGAUUUGUAAGACUGUACAGGAAUUUCUUUGAGUGCCCAAAAAGACAGCAUGUAAGAACAUCAGUUCUCACUACGUUAGGACUAUAUGAGACAACAGCCUUCAUAGUACGGCUUGUAUAUUCUUCAAUGUGAUCUGAUAGCAUCACAAGAAACAGAGCUUUUUGUAAAGAAUUACUAGACACACACAUAGCACAAUACUGGGAUGGAUUCCAGGGAACAGAGAAGAAUGGGUUUGCUGAACAUCUUCAUGGGACAUCUAUGUAAAGUUUGAGUUUCUCCUUUGAGCUUUUGAUACAAAAGCUGACAUUCACGUUGAUUUUGUAGUCCUUGGCUAGUACCUGGAGUGUGCUGAUAACUGUGUUACUUGGUAAGUAAAAAACUGUAUGGCCGAGCAGGCACUAAUGAAGUCCUCUUAAGAGAGAUAAGUAGCCUGGCAUAGUUAGGGCCCUGCACAGUUAGGGCUCUAGCUCACAGCCUCUGUGGAGGGUGGUCCUAGACCAUGGCCCGGACAGAGGCUGGGUGUGUGUGCCACCACCACAGGAAUGACAAUAGUGGCCCAGUUGCUGUGUUAAGCAUUGGUCAGACUAAGCUUAUCUGAUAACCUGUGAGCUGGUUAAUACUUGUAUCUGCCUUUUAUAGCAAUGUGAUGCUGUGGCCGGGAGAAGUGACCAGGAUACCAAGGUAUACUUGCUAGUAUGAGAGGCCAACUUUGAAUCCAAGGCAGAGCCGUGUUUUACCCCUCUUGUCCAGCAACGCUUCAAAACCUGAGACAAAUGGUGAUGUCAGGACCUAAAAUUCUAUUUCAUAAUGUCUUGGAAAUUUGUUAGGCACCUUCCAUGUGACAAGCACAGAGCUCGGAUGGGCAGCCAACCAUGAACAAGAAGGACACGGCCACGUGCCACAUGCACGGGAGGUGAGCAAGUCAAUCAUCACCUUUUAAACACUUGAGAUUUCUAAUCUAUUUGUGGCUGAGAAAUCUAACAAUUGUGCUGGUUAGAAUUACAUAAGGAUGACAUUGGCUUUGGAUGAGGUCUCUCCUGUGAGUGUCGUAAACCAAACUUCAGAGCCUGAGCUGUGUACUAGUGCACUCAUUAAACUUCUCAGAGACCAGUUUUGUUCCUGAGAUCUUGGUUAAGUUCUGGACAAGUGAGGUUCUAGGACAGACACCCCAGCUUAGGAGCAUUGUGUUUGAUGUAAAAGGAAAUGGGGUGGAAAAAUAUGCAAGUGUCUCAUCUCUCCUGUCAAGUGCAUGGCUACUUGAUUACAUCCUCUACCCCAAGAAUGCCACCCUGCUUCAGAUCACUCCACUCCAGGGCCUACUGGAGAGACAGAAGAAUGUGGGAGAAAUGCGAGCUUGAGAUGAUUUUGCUCUUGUUAUUAAAAUGCUCUUCUCAUUGUGUGGUAAAAUUACAGAAAAUGUCUUUCUCUUCAGAAAACAAAGACUUCAGCCCCAAAGAGGGCCCAAGAGAGUUUUAGGACAAAUUUGCAUCUCUCUGGCAGGAACUAUGUAUGAAUUCAAGACAGAAAAGGAAUAUUUACAUAAUGUAUACUAUAUUUCUGUUAUAGCUUUCCAGAGAGCUCCCUAGCAAGAACUGGGAAGAGGUAUGAGGGGCAAGAAAGCUCCAAGCAGCCUCCCCUACUGAAAGCUAAUUGUAGUGGCACUGAUUGAAAGGUGGUGGAAGUUGUAGAAAGCCCUAGAGAGCAAUCAACAGGCUUAGGGCAGGCUGACCCCAAGACCUUGGGUCACUGUGUGGCUUUGAGCAAAUUGCGUAAUCUAUUUUGGCCCUAAUUCUCUCUUUUUAAAAAUGAGAUUGCACACCAGCAACUGUUGUUGCUCUUUCAGCUUGGAAGUGCUGUCUUUGUGGGUAAAUAAGGCAUUUUUAAGGCUAGUCUAAAUUUACAAGUGAACCUGUGGAGGCCCUGGAAAUACACUUACAUAUUUCACAUAGGACUACUGUAGUCACUACAAUGAGAAAGAAUUUCACUUCCUGCAUUGGAUCGGGUGGAUUAGAGUUGGUGCAUAUAAAGCAGCUAUGACAUGAAAAUAUUCCACAGAUGGUAGUCAUUGUUAUUUUUUUUUUUAUUUUUUUUUUUAGAUAGAGUUUUGC
rnacentral:lncRNA from 1 species